AGCGUAGUGUGGAAGACCGCGAACGGUUAGCUCAUAACUCAGAGGUCGCAGGUUCGAAUCCUGUCCCCGCUACCA
rnacentral:tRNA from 1 species